CUCGCCUCCGUAUCUUUUCCGGCACUGCUAAUCCUGCCUUAGCUCAGCUUGAAGAGAGUGUAAGGGGAUGCGAUAUGUUCAGCUUGAAGAGAGUGUAAUGGUGAGAUAUAUGUUCUGGUUGUGUUGCCAUUUUAGCUAAUUGUGAUGGGCUGGUCCUACUCGAGAUCUCUUGUUGACAAAAUCAUCUCUAGCUACAGAGUUUCGAAUCCAUUGCAGCAGAACCAGUUAAUUACUCACAAGCACUUCGUUUAUGAGGAGCAUAUGCUGGAAAUUGAAUGCCCCAGUGUCACACCUGAGGCUGUUCUCAAGGCUUCAGGGCAUGUUGACUACUUUCACGAUCAGGCCAAUCUAGAGCUCGGUGGUCAUCGGAUCGCCACUGUAUUGAUGUACUUGUCCAAUGUUCAAAAGGGCGGAGAGACAGUGUUUCCCAUGUGGUUUAACUAACAUUUAUACACAUGUAGAAUACUCUAGAUUAUCUUGAACAUCCAUUUGGUUAAUAUAUUUGAGGGACCAAACUUUG